rnacentral:rRNA from 1 species
GGAAUCUUCCACAAUGGACGAAAGUCUGAUGGAGCAACGCCGCGUGAGUGAAGAAGGUUUUCGGAUCGUAAAACUCUGUUGUUGGAGAAGAACGUAUUUGAUAGUAACUGAUCAGGUAGUGACGGUAUCCAACCAGAAAGCCACGGCUAACUACGUGCCAGCAGCCGCGGUAAUACGUAGGUGGCAAGCGUUGUCCGGAUUUAUUGGGCGUAAAGCGAGCGCAGGCGGUUUCUUAAGUCUGAUGUGAAAGCCUUCGGCUCAACCGAAGAAGUGCAUCGGAAACUGGGAAACUUGAGUGCAGAAGAGGACAGUGGAACUCCAUGUGUAGCGGUGAAAUGCGUAGAUAUAUGGAAGAACACCAGUGGCGAAGGCGGCUGUCUGGUCUGUAACUGACGCUGAGGCUCGAAAGCAUGGGUAGCAAACA